rnacentral:rRNA from 1 species
UGACAGGUGGUGCAUGGUUGUCGUCAGCUCGUGUCGUGAGAUGUUGGGUUAAGUCCCGCAACGAGCGCAACCCUCGCCUCUAGUUGCCAGCAUUCGGUUGGGCACUCUAGAGGGACUGCCGGCGACAAGUCGGAGGAAGUGGGGAUGACGUCAAAUCAUCAUGCCCCUUAUGACCUGGGCUACACACGUGCUACAAUGGGCGGUACAAAGGGCUGCGAACCCGCGAGGGGGAGCGAAUCCCAAAAAGCCGCUCUCAGUUCGGAUUGCAGGCUGCAACUCGCCUGCAUGAAGCCGGAAUCGCUAGUAAUCGCGGAUCAACAUGCCGCGGUGAAUACGUUCCCGGGCCUU